GAUGAAGAACGCAGCGAAACGCGAAAUGUAAUGUGAAUUGCAGAAUUCAGUGAAUCAUCGAAUCUUUGAACGCACCUUGCGCUCCCGGGUCAUUCCUGGGAGCAUGCUUGUUUGAGUGUCGCUUUACCUCUCAACCCCGCCCUUUCUUCUCGAAGGGGUAGCCGGGCUUUGGAUCCUGACGCCAUGUCGCUCUUAACCCGAGCCGACUGCGUUGAAAUUGAACAAGCUGCAUCCUUGUGCUGCGCGGCUUGACCCGUUGUCGUAAUCUAAAAAAUUCAAUGGGGACGCCAGCCGGAACGAGCUUACCAUAACUCUACACUUUAUAAAAUGACCUCAAAUCAAGUAGGACUACCCGCUGAACUUAAGCAUAUCAAUAAGCGGAGGA
rnacentral:misc_RNA from 1 species